rnacentral:rRNA from 1 species
UGAACGACUCUCGGCAACGGAUAUCUCGGCUCACGCAUCGAUGAAGAACGUAGCAAAAUGCGAUACUUGGUGUGAAUUGCAGAAUCGCGUGAACCAUCGAGUUUUUGAACGCAAGUUGCGCCCGAAGCCACCCGGCCGAGGGCACGCCUGCCUGGGCGUCACGC